ensembl:lncRNA
GAUCAGUCUGCGAAUGAGGGCAACAACAGGACGCUUUCUAUACACAAAGAGACAGUUUCAACAACUUAUAGCCAAACAAUACUGUCUGAUCUCUGAAGAGAUUCAUUUGACUCGGAGUGGAUGUAGCUGGAUGGUUUGAGCUUAUUCAACGACGUCAUAAGAAAAGAAUUGCAGGCUCGGCCUGUCAGAGCCCAAUCCAGAGAGUGUGUGAUGGAAGCGUUCUGGCCCAUUUGCUUCACCUCAGCUGAAAUCAAAGCGAGCAGCGGCAGCAGUGUUCUGGGGCCCCUGGCACCCUGGAGAGAAGCCACGCAAAGCCUGCAUGAUCCAGCCCUGACAGCACACACAGCGGUUGAAGUCUGCAUCAUAUUAAACAAACCUAAAUGCUUCAAGCUGUUACACACUCCCUAAUGCAACAUUUAUGAAGGACCC